GCUUCCGUAGCUCAAUUGGUUAAGAGCAUCGCACGGAUUGCGGAGGAUGCGGGUUCAAGUCCUGCCGGAAGCG